rfam:Schistosoma haematobium scaffold346_6, whole genome shotgun sequence.
AUCCAGCUGACGAGUCACAAAUAAAACGAAACCUGCGUCCUGGAU